rnacentral:tRNA from 1 species
CAUUGAGAAGCUAAGUAGCGUUAACCUUUUAAGUUGAAGCAUGAGAGCCGAACCCUCUCCUCAAUGA